UAUGUAUAUAAGCCAAUGUAUAAUUUCCUUCCUAUAAUUGAUGCCGUCUAUUUUGUAGCUAUCUAUGUUAUGCAGAACGAUACAGUCCUACCAUAUAACCCCAUUCCAAAAACUAACAAGACAAAAGAACAAGUUGUGGAUGUCACCCAAACUACUCAGUCCAACUCGGGUACAAUAAUCACGGUGAGUGUCCAGUGUGGUGUGGUCACUGUGUAUGGUGCGUAUAACAACAGUCAGCCUAGUUUGGCCAGUUACGACUACAUGACCAGUGCAACUGACAUGAAACCGGGUAAUUUAUACCUAGUUAAACAAACAUUAUCCUCUACGUUAUACCUGACGAUAAUUUCCAGGAGACGAUUUGAUCUCAAAAUCUCGGCUUGCAACAAUCCUCAAUACAACGUCAGUUUCGAUGCAACAGAUCCCACUAUAAGAGUGACCUGCCGUCAAAAUAACAAAGAAGUAUUAUGUAGCUCCGAUGAUCUGAAAGACAUACUCGGAAAAAAUAUACCAUAUCCAUGCACGAAGGAAAAUCGCAUAAAGGGGCUAUACGUUUUCCCCUACCCUAACAAACCUGAGAAGUACCUUGAAUGUGGCUCCCAAGGGAAGCUGACCAUCGUCUUGUGUCCGAAAAAUCAAACUUUUGAUGCAACACUGAAGACAUGUAAACACACUGUGACGGCGCCGGCCCUACCAGGCAUCGCUCUGAAGCCCUAUCCUUGCAUCAUUUUCUCUCGGAAAUAUCAUUUUACUCACCCGACGGAUAUUUCAAAAUUCAUACUCUGUGAUCUAAGGGGCAAGGGUCGCGUGGUAGAUUGUCCGGAAACACUAUACUGGCAUCCAGGCAUUGUGGGAUGUGUCUUUACUCCAUUCAGUCAUGUUUGUGGUGCUAACACUUCAGGAAUGCUUCAACCUCACCCAUUCAGUCGUUCCCAUUUCAUAGUGUGUGGCAGCUGCACAAAUUAUCAAAUAAGGAAAUGCGAAUACAACAAAAAAUGGAAUCAAAGCCUGAGCAAAUGUGUUUAUACUUCACCGUUUUGAAUGAAGAAUGGAAUUUCUUAAAUCUCUUUUGAUAGAAUUUUAAUGAAUAAAUGAUUUGCCACACUUUCUUCUCAUUUUCGAAUUAUGCUAUGAAAGAUCAGUUGUGCUUCUAGAGGACUAAACUAGCACACACACACACACACAAACAUACCUGCACACACAAACGUACUUGCACACAUGAACGUACACACAUACACACACACACACAUGUACAUAAACACACAUUCAUGCAUAUACAUACACAGGUACAUAUACGCACACACAUGCAUACACACAAACACACAUAUGCAUACCCUUACAUAUAUACACAUCAGAAGCAGAAAUUAUUGUUUCUUUCUUUUCGUCUUUUACAGCCCAACACAACAAAUCCCUCUAAUUACUUAAUUAAGCAAUAAAGAUUUUAUACACUGCUUUCAAUUAAUCACUAAUAAGCCCCCUCCUAAUUACAACUACGUAUAUUUCAUGAUUAUAUUUUUAUAUGCUUUUAUGUAAUUUUACUCAAUUUCGUUGCAAUAAAAUAAA
rnacentral:misc_RNA from 1 species